AGUAUAAUAUCACAGUAUAAUAAGACGAAUCAUUCAACGCGAGCUCAACCAAUUCGAGAAAGGAGGAACAACAAUCAGUGUAUAAUAUCACAGUUAUCCCGCUCGGCCAUAAGGUCCUACACAUGUUAAAGGAAUGAUCGAGAUCUGAAAUCUCCUGAAAUUACAGAUGAUUGGUGCAAAGGACAUCGAUGACCUCACAAGAAUCGAUGGAGACGAACUAGGAACAGGAA